rnacentral:misc_RNA from 1 species
UCUCCGUUGGUGAACCAGCGGAGGGAUCAUAACCGAAGUUACCUUCAAAACCCACUGUGAACCUUACCUCUUGCCGCGUUGUCUCGGCGGGAGGCGGUGUGCGUCGCGCGCCCUAGCGGGCCGCGCCGCUCCCGUCCCCGCCGGCAGCGCCAAACUCUAAAUGCACAGCGGACUGUACGUUCUGAUGUACAAAAAAAAAACAAGUUAAAACUUUCAACAACGGAUCUCUUGGUUCUG